CCGAGUUCUCAUCACAAGGGAGAGUUAUUUUCCCCAGACAUACAAAGUACAGGAAAUAAGAGAAAAGGCAGGAGAUAGCGGGUGAGAGAGAGGGGGUGUUUGUUCCAGAGAGGGGCUGCCUUUGGGUUGAGAGAAGACAGAUGAGGCCCAUAGGAAAGUGGCAGUUUAUAAAGGUAAAGGGGGAAACCCCAUGUCAGGACAAGGAGUUUAAUUUUAAUUGGGCGUGCUAGUUAGGUGAGCCAAAGGGGACCUUUGCUUGCUAGAAUUCAAUACUUUACUGGACUUUGGUAGUCAGCCUCAGGAGGAGGAAGUGGCCAAAUAAAGGAAUAGUGCCUUGAUUAAUUUUAGCAAUGUAAUCUAAUGGGUCUUUUUAGCAAGGCAGGGGAAUAGGGGAGAAGGGCAAGGCCAGCCAGAGCUAUGUUUGCCAUAUGUAGUGGGCUGGCUAGAAUUCCUUCAGAUGCUGAGGACAGAACUGGGAGCUUUCACAAAAGCUGUAGGUGCUUAACUGCUGAGUCAUAGCUCCAGCUCUUUUCAGCUCUUUGGAGAUAGGCCUUCUAUAGCCCAGGCUUGGCCUUGAACUUAGUUGAGAUUGUCUUUGAAUUCUAUUUCUUCCUGUCUCUACCUCACAAUACUAGGAUUAUAAGUACUUGCCACAAUGCCUGCCCCUCUUUUUGGUGGGGGAGUGUUAUUUUGGCUCACUUUCUUUUCUUUUUUAAAAAAUUUAUUUAUUUAUUAUAUGUAAGUACACUGCAGCUGUCUUCAGACACUCCAGAAGAGGGAGUCAGAUCUCAUUACAGAUGGUUGUGAGCCACUAUGUGGUUGCUGGGAAUUGAACUAAAGACCUUCGGAAUAGCAGUCAGUGCUCUUAACCUCUGAGCCAUCUCUCCAGCCCCCUUUUCUUCUCUUUCUUACAUAUUUGUGUUUUUUGUUUUGUUUUGUUUUGUUUUUGUUUGUUUGUUUGUUUGGUUUUGGUUUUGGUUUUUCAAGACAGGGUUUCUCUGUGAAGUCCUGGCUACCCUGGAAUUCAUUCUGUAGAGCAGGCUGGUCUCGAACUCAGAAAUCCACCUGCCUCUGCCUCCCAACUGCUGGGAUUACAGGCGUGUGCUACCACUGCCCGGU
rnacentral:lncRNA from 1 species